GCAUAUCAAUAAGCGGAGGAAAAGAAACCAACAGGGAUUGCCUCAGUAACGGCGAGUGAAGCGGCAAAAGCUCAAAUUUGAAAUCUGGCCCUCUCGGGGUCCGAGUUGUAAUUUGCAGAAGAUGCUUCGGGUGGGGUGCCGGUCUAAGUUCCUUGGAACAGGACGUCACAGAGGGUGAGAAUCCCGUACGUGGCCGGUCGCCUCCGCCCGUGUGAAGCUCUUUCGACGAGUCGAGUUGUUUGGGAAUGCAGCUCUAAAUGGGUGGUAAAUUUCAUCUAAAGCUAAAUACUGGCCAGAGACCGAUAGCGCACAAGUAGAGUGAUCGAAAGAUGAAAAGCACUUUGGAAAGAGAGUUAAACAGUACGUGAAAUUGUUGAAAGGGAAGCGCUUGCACCCAGACUUGCGCCUGGUGGAUCACCCGGGCUUCUGCCCGGUGCACUCGAUCAGGCUCAGGCCAGCAUCGGUUUGGGUGGUCGGAUAAAGGCCUUGGGAAUGUAGCCUCUCUCGGGGGGUGUUAUAGCCCGAGGUGCCAUGCGACCUACCUGGACCGAGGACCGCGCUUCGGCUAGGAUGCUGGCGUAAUGGUUGCAAGCGACCCGUCUUGAAACACGGACCAAGGAGUCUAACACCUCUGCGAGUGUUUGGGUGUCAAACCCACACGCGUAAUGAAAGUGAACGGAGGUGAGAGCCCCUGAGGGCGCAUCAUCGACCGAUCCUGAUGUCUUCGGAUGGAUUUGAGUAAGAGCAGGUGUGUUGGGACCCGAAAGAUGGUGAACUAUACGUGAAUAGGGUGAAGCCAGAGGAAACUCUGGUGGAGGCUCGCAGCGGUUCUGACGUGCAAAUCGAUCGUCAAAUUUGCGUAUAGGGGCGAAAGACUAAUCGAACCAUCUAGUAGCUGGGUUCCUGCCGAAG
rnacentral:rRNA from 1 species